GAUGAACGCUAGCUACAGGCCUAACACAUGCAAGUCGAGGGGCAGCGGUAUCGAAAGCUUGCUUUCGGUAGCCGGCGACCGGCGCACGGGUGAGUAACGCGUAUCGAACCUGCCUCAUACUCGGGAAUAGCCUUGCGAAAGUAAGAUUAAUGCCCGGUGUUUUCAGAGUCCCGCAUGAGGCUUUGAACAAAGAUUUAUCGGUAUGAGAUGGCGAUGCGUCCCAUUAGCUUGUUGGCGGGGUAACAGCCCACCAAGGCAUCGAUGGGUAGGGGUUCUGAGGGGAAGGCCCCCCCCAUUGGAAAUGGGACACGGUCCAAACUCCUACGGGAGGCAGCAGUGAGGAAUAUUGGUAAAUGGGCGGAAGCCUGAACCAGCCAAGUAGCGUGCAGGAAGACGGCCCUCCGGGUUGUAAACUGCUUUUAGUUGGGAAUAAAACGGGGCUCGUGAGCCCCCUUGCAUGUACCAUCAGAAAAAGGACCGGCUAAUUCCGUGCCAGCCGCCGCCGUAA
rnacentral:rRNA from 1 species